rnacentral:piRNA from 1 species
UGAAUCGUACCAGGGCAGCAGCCCAGAAGUC